rnacentral:rRNA from 1 species
UGGGGAAUAUUGCACAAUGGGGGGAACCCUGAUGCAGCGACGCCGCGUGAGGGAAGAAGGUUUUCGGAUUGUAAACCUCUGUCUUUGGUGACGAAAGAUGACGGUAGCCAAAGAGGAAGCUACGGCUAACUACGUGCC